rnacentral:rRNA from 1 species
AUUGAACGCUGGCGGCAUGCCUAACACAUGCAAGUCGAACGGUAACAGGUUAAGCUGUCGCGUGGCGAACGGGUGAGUAAUGUAUCGGAACGUGCCCAGUCGUGGGGUAUAAUUGCUCGAAAGAGCAGCUAAUACCGCAUACGACCUGAGGGUGAAAGCGGGGGAUGGCAAGACCUCGCGCGAUGGGACCGGCCGAUAUCGGAUUAGGUAGUUGGUGAGGUAAAGGCUCACCAAGCCGACGACCUGUAGCUGGUCUGAGAGGACGACCAGCCACACUGGGACUGAGACACGGCCCAGACUCCUACGGGAGGCAGCAGUGGGGAAUUUUGGACAAUGGGCGCAAGCCUGAUCCAGCCAUGCCGCGUGCGGGAAGAAGGCCUUCGGGUUGUAAACCGCUUUUGUCAGGGAAGAAAAGGUUCUGGCUAAUACCUGGGACUCAUGACGGUACCUGAAGAAUAAGCACCGGCUAACUACGUG